CAUUAUUGAGAAUUUUUUCGUAGCGCUGAGAACUGUUGCUGACCUGUUAAAGGGUAUGUGCACGUUUAAAGUGUUGCGUUUUAUUCUUUUUUCCCUGUGCACAUUUGUAGACUUGGUUAGAAGGGGGGGGUUGCUUUCGAGCACUCCUUUGUCUAUCAGGUCUAUGUCUAUAAACUUUUGUAUGUAUAGAAUGUGUUGUUUAUAAGACGCAAGUCUAAUAAAUGUUAUACAACUUUCAACAACGGAUCUCUUGGCUCUCGCAUCGAUGAAGAACGCAGCGAAAUGCGAUAACUAAUGUGAAUUGCAGAAUUCAGUGAAUCAUCGAGUCUUUGAACGCACCUUGCGCCCUUUGGUAUUCCGAAGGGCAUGCCUGUUUGAGUGUCAUUAAAUUCUCAAGCUUUUUGCUUGGAUGUGGGGGUUGCUGGUCUCUAACGAGAUCAGCUCCUCUAAAAUGUAUUAGCAGAAACCGAAAGACUUUGGGUGCUAGGCUGUGAUAAUAUCUAUAGCUUGGUAGUCUUGUUAGGAUUUCAGCUUCUAACGGUUCAUUUGAUUGAACGAUUUAUUGACUAUUUGACCUCAAAUCAGGUAGGACUACCCGCUGAACUU
rnacentral:rRNA from 1 species